GUUGAACGCUGGCGGCAGGCCUAACACAUGCAAGUCGAACGGUAACAGGAAGAAGCUUGCUUCUUUGCUGACGAGUGGCGGACGGGUGAGUAAUGUCUGGGAAACUGCCUGAUGGAGGGGGAUAACUACUGGAAACGGUAGCUAAUACCGCAUAACGUCGCAAGACCAAAGAGGGGGACCUUCGGGCCUCUUGCCAUCGGAUGUGCCCAGAUGGGAUUAGCUAGUAGGUGGGGUAACGGCUCACCUAGGCGACGAUCCCUAGCUGGUCUGAGAGGAUGACCAGCCACACUGGAACUGAGACACGGUCCAGACUCCUACGGGAGGCAGCAGUGGGGAAUAUUGCACAAUGGGCGCAAGCCUGAUGCAGCCAUGCCGCGUGUAUGAAGAAGGCCUUCGGGUUGUAAAGUACUUUCAGCGGGGAGGAAGGGAGUAAAGUUAAUACCUUUGCUCAUUGACGUUACCCGCAGAAGAAGCACCGGCUAACCCCGUG
rnacentral:rRNA from 1 species